GUCACGCCCGAAGUCGUUACCCCAACCGAAAGGAGGGGGAUGCCUAAGGUAGGACUGGUGACUGGGGUGAAGUCGUAACAAGGUAGCCGUACCGGAAGGUGUGGCUGGAUCACCUCCUUUUUAGGGAGACCUAAUCCAUUGAGAAAUCGAAAACAAUCAGUAAUUAGAUUCUUAAUUGGUCUAUCCUAGGUCGGUCGAGAUUGGUUGAAAACUUUCAAAGUAUUAUUAUUGGUUUGGUGAGACUGAAUUAAAUUGGAAAAGAGUCAGCAACUGACAGUUAGUCAGACUGCUGGAUAAAAACCAGCCAGAACCUUGAAAACUGCAUAGUAACGCGAAUUAGCAGGCAGACGAAACUGAGUACUGAGGAAAGAGUACCGAGUGAUGAGUUUUUAACUCAUUGUAGAGUAGGAAAGAAACAGGAAAGCAGAAAAGUUUGCGAGUCGAAAAAAUGUAAUGAAGUGGUCAAGCUAAUAAGGGCUAAUGGUGGAUACCUAGGCACACAGAGG
rnacentral:misc_RNA from 1 species